AACGAACGCUGGCGGCAGGCCUAACACAUGCAAGUCGAACGAUAUAGUGGCAGACGGGUGAGUAACGCGUGGGAACGUACCUUUCGCUACGGAAUAGCUCCGGGAAACUGGUGGUAAUACCGUAUACGCCCUUAGGGGGAAAGAUUUAUCGGCGAAAGAUCGGCCCGCGUUAGAUUAGGUAGUUGGUGGGUAAUGGCCUACCAAGCCUACGAUCUAUAGCUGGUCUGAGAGGAUGAUCAGCCACACUGGGACUGAGACACGGCCCAGACUCCUACGGGAGGCAGCAGUGGGGAAUCUUGCACAAUGGGCGAAAGCCUGAUGCAGCCAUGCCGCGUGAAUGAUGAAGGCCUUAGGGUUGUAAAAUUCUUUCGCUAGGGAUGAUAAUGACAGUACCUAGUAAAGAAGCCCGGCUAACUUCGUG
rnacentral:rRNA from 1 species